GGGGGUGCACCGGUUUCGACUGUUGCGGUUCGGGAUACAGGCUGCAGGUGGAGUGCCUAGCUCCUGAUUAGGCAAAACUUUAACUGCCAACAACGACAGUUACGAUUACGCCUUAGCUGCGUAACCGCGUGGAACCCUUCCGCCGCCUUGAGGAAGGGCUUCCGCGUCACAAUCAGGGCUGGCCGCAUCCCCGGCGCCGGACGGGCUGCGGUAAGAUUUACCGGAUACGGAUAGGCCGCGUGCCGUUUAGCCAAGCCCUUCCCGACAAUACAAUAGACGGCUAAACCUGUAGAAGCUUGUGUUUCGCGCAUCAGGACGCGGGUCCGACUCCCGCCACCUCCAACC
rnacentral:tmRNA from 1 species